rnacentral:RNase_P_RNA from 1 species
UUGGCAGGCCGGUCCGUCGCCCCUGGUUCAACGACCGGGAGAGGAAAGUCCGGGCAACAGAGAGCUCCAUCCUUCCUAACGGGAAGAUAUCCGAAAGGGUAUAGCAGUGUAACAGAAAAUAACAGCCACGCCUCAGGGCGUGGAAUUGGUGAAAAGGUGAGGUAAAGGCUCACCGGUCCCGGUGGCGACACCGGGAGCCGUACACCUGAUGGGUUGAAAGACCAUGUAUACCGGCGUCUGAGGGCUGCUCGCCCGAGCCGGGGGGUAGGUCGUACGAGUCCGCAGGCGACUGCGGGACCAGAUAAAUGACGGAACAGAUGCAUAAUCCUCUUGCAGGAUACCGCAUCACGACAGAACCCGGCUUACAGGCCUGCCUUCGAA